GCGAGAGCACUGAUACAUAUAAUAGUCUAGGUACAUAUACAAAUAACCAAUAUCUAUAAUGUAUACACAGUAAUCGAUUAUCUUGAGGUUUAAGUAAGUUAAUACACCUCAGUUUGAAAAAUAAUGUUUCACACGGGCUCCAUGCACCUGUCAAGCCCUUUAUGGAUUCGAGGCUAUUGUUAGAGAUGAGGAGAUACCACGAUUGACUAAUGCCCAUAAGAGAGACAAGAUUAUUAAAACAAAUCGCAUAUAGGGUCCUGUUUUGCUUACGGCGACAAAUGAAGGAGAGCUGCUAUAGAUAGCGAUCCAAUAACCUAGAAAGCGAUACAUUUAAGGUAGAGCCACGAUGAACAAACUCAGAGCGGAGCAAUUAAAACAGACGAUGGAUCGUAUCCACCGUAUCGAGGGGCACACAAACGUGUCGGGGGUGCUGGUGAUCAACACCAAGGGGCUCAUCCUCCACACUUCGCUCGACACCACGCAGACAACGGCUUACACGCAACAGUGCGUGCCUCUCGUGGAGCUCGCGCGUGCCACCAUCAGGGACACAGACCCUGAAGAUGAUCUCCGUUUUUUUAGGGUCAGGACCCUCAAGCACGAGUUAAUAAUCGCGCCAGAGGACAAGUAUACCCUUAUCGUGAUCCAGAAGACAGACGCACAAGCCAACAGGUUUAUUUUAUAGUGUAUAACAGAGGACGAGUAUAGCCUUAUCGUGAUCCAGAAGACAGACGCACAAGCCACCAGGUUUAUUUUAUAGUGUAUAACAGAGGACGAGUAUAGCCUUAUCGUGAUCCAGAAGACAGACGCACAAGCCACCAGGUUUAUUUUAUAGUGUAUAACAGAGGACGAGUAUAGCCUUAUCGUGAUCCAGAAGACAGACGCACAAGCCACCAGGUUUAUUUUAUAGUGUAUAACAGAGGACGAGUAUAGCCUUAUCGUGAUCCAGAAGACAGACGCACAAGCCACCAGGUUUAUUUUAUAGUGUAUAACAGAGGACGAGUAUACCCUUAUCGUGAUCCAGAAGACAGACGCACAAGCCACCAGGUUUAUUUUAUAGUGUAUAACAGAGGACGAGUAUAUCCUUAUCGUGAUCCAGAAGACAGACGCACAAGCCACCAGGUUUAUUUUAUAGUGUAUAACAGAGGACGAGUAUACCCUUAUCGUGAUCCAGAAGACAGACGCACAAGCCACCAGGUUUAUUUUAUAGUGUAUAACAGAGGACGAGUAUACCCUUAUCGUGAUCCAGAAGACAGACGCACAAGCCACCAGGUUUAUUUUAUAGUGUAUAACAGAGGACGAGUAUAGCCUUAUCGUGAUCCAGAAGACAGACGCACAAGCCACCAGGUUUAUUUUAUAGUGUAUAACAGAGGACGAGUAUAGCCUUAACCCAAACAGUUGAUUUUAUAGCGUAUCCAGUAUAUAUAUUUUUAACACAGGGUGUGCAAGUUUACCUCGAAGUUUAAAAAGAAUUUAAGCGAUUCUUUUAUUCUGUAUCCAAGAUAAAGAAUGCAUUUCCUAGCUUGUAUGCAAGUUCAGCUGGAAGUUUGUAUUGAAUUCCAGCGAUUUUUAUGUGUUUACAUGUAGCCAUUUUGUACGAAUAAAAUUUGUUCAUACAAAA